GCGUCGAUGGUGCAACGGUCAGCAUACGCUCCCGGAAAGAGGGAUAUCUGAGUUCGAGUCCCGGCUGAUGCA